rnacentral:rRNA from 1 species
AGUGAACGCUGGCGGUAGGCCUAACACAUGCCAGUCGAACGGCAGCACAGUAAGAGCUUGCUCUUACGGGUGGCGAGUGGCGGACGGGUGAGGAAUACAUCGGAAUCUACUUUUUCGUGGGGGAUAGCGUAGGGAAACUUACGCUAAUACCGCAUACGACCUACGGGUGAAAGCAGGGGAUCUUCGGACCUUGCGCGAUUGAAUGAGCCGAUGUCGGAUUAGCUAGUUGGCGGGGUAAAGGCCCACCAAGGCGACGAUCCGUAGCUGGUCUGAGAGGAUGAUCAGCCACACUGGAACUGAGACACGGUCCAGACUCCUACGGGAGGCAGCAGUGGGGAAUAUUGGACAAUGGGCGCAAGCCUGAUCCAGCCAUACCGCGUGGGUGAAGAAGGCCUUCGGGUUGUAAAGCCCUUUUGUUGGGAAAGAAAAGCAGCAGGUUAAUACCCCGCUGUUCUGACGGUACCCAAAGAAUAAGCACCGGCUAACUUCGUG